UCUUUUAACAAAACACAAUUGGAGUGUUAUUUACAUAGUAAUGUCAAGGUUUUCUUUACGCAUGAGAAACAGGAAUGUAAAAAUCAAAAUUGAAGCGUAUCCUGGGAUGAAAAUGUACUGUUUAAAACUUUAUUCAGAAUAAGCAGCAGCUGUGUGUGGAGAAACGAAGAUCCCUAUAGUCUGGCUAUUUCUGAGGUGAGUAACACUGUCCUCACCACCAUGGCCAGGGAUGCUUCUCAGACCCACUUAGAUGAGGGGCUUUCUAAUGUGUCCCAGACUGCUGACUUCUGGGCACAUACAUGUGUGCCAUUGUGCAUAAAUAUGCAGGCGCUCUGAGGACAUCUCACACAUUUCCAUGCACUCUUGUAAGAGCCCAGAGACACCCUUGUGCAUUUUUCUGUCUCAUCUCUAACUUAUCCAAGCAUCAAGAAGACAAAGUGAGAGACCCUUGAUUCACAUCUGCAAGAAAACAACUAGCAAUCGUUCUCUGGCUAAGAUACAGACAGCGCAUCGCUUUAGAAAAACAGCACUUUAACCUUACUGAAAAUGACUGUUUCUGGGAGAGAGACCCUUAAACACAAGUUCUCUUUAGGUGAGUUCAGUAGAGGCUUAGUUACUUGGAUGCUGCUGCUCAAGGCAGCACUCUCCAGAGUUUACGGUUCUUGAAUCUAUUCCUGUGCAGUAAGUUGGAUGCACUUAACUCUUUCUCAGGAUGCAAGUUCAUGGAGAAAGGCUUGUAGUUUCUGCCCCAGGUUGCUGGCCUCUCUGGAGGGUGUGGAAGAACAUGCAGGAGGUGGUACCUCCCACCAGUGAUGCCUCAGUUCCCCUUCAGCCACAGAGCUGCUAAGGCCCUGGGAAGGAGUCCUGGUGCCCUACACCUUCUGAGGGGGCAGGCGAAGGACAGUGAAGUUUACAGCUAGAGUAGGGAAGCGAGGCAAAAUUGACACUUCCAACUCCAAAUGGGUAUUUUGGGAUUUCAAAUAAAUAGUGGCCUCAUUUAGAAAAUUAUUAGAAAAAUUAUUAGCUCAGUGGCAUAAGGGCUUGCCUUGCAAGCAGGCAGUCAUGAGUUUGAUCCCUAGUACCGAUAAAAAAAAAAAAAGGAAAUUAUUAAAAAAUAAAUGGAUGGGGCUGGGGAUUUAGCUCAGCGGCAUAAGCGCCUGCCUUGCAAGCAGGCCGUCGUGAGUUCGAUCCCUGGUACCGAUAAAAACAAAAAAGACAAAAAAAAAAAAAAAAAAAAAAGGUGGUGGAAACAGUGAAAAGACAAUCUAAGCAGUGACAGCGAUCCUUUUAGAGAUGGGCACUUACACUGCAACCCCAAACCUACGUCUUAAUUGCAAAGCACCAAUGCUGCAAUUAAACCUGAACACUGAGGUUCUGGUUUAGGAAAAGAUCAACUGCCCCAUUAAGAGCUUUUGUGUUAAAAGGAAAACACACUAAGACAUGUACUAUAGACUGUUCACCAGCCCUGGUCUAGAAAACCCAUCAAGUGAUCAGUAAAACUGGGAGGACACUUAGAACAGUUGUUUACUCAUGCCCAGCAGGUCUGUGCUGUGUGACUGCCCCCCGUUGUGCCAGGCAUAGUCCAGGGAUGGGACUCGGGACAGGGAGCAGAGCUCUCACGGACUUGGAGAUGGCUGGACUCGGAGUCUCAGACUAAUGGUACCAGACAGAGAAGAAGUUGGAAGGAAAAAGCAGAUGUGCAGAAUAAUUGCCCUCCCCUUGAGUGUGGGCUGAACCUGGAGACUGAUUUCUAACGAACAGGCUACUCUGGCAGCAGUGAUACGGGACGUCUGAGGUGUGACCCUAGAAGGCCCUAUGGCUUCCUUCUUGCCCCUUCAGGUCACUUGCUUUGGGGACAGCCAGCUGCCAGGUUGUGACCACAUACAAGCAGUUUCACAUGGGAAGGAGCUAAGCCCUUGUGCCAGGCACCAAGUGAAGAAGGCAGAGCCGGGCUUUCGGAGCAUGCCAGCCUGAGUCAGUAGCCUCCAACCUCACGAAGUCGCCACGUCACAACCAACUUGCUGAGCCCCUACCGAACCCCAGAUCCUCACAAACAACGAGAAAACAAACACAGCUGACUUGGCCGCCCACGGGAACCUUUGCCGAGCAGGCUUGCAGGAUCCUCAAGGCCAGAGCCUGUGCCCCACACAGGACUUGCUGUGCUGUGUGGUCAUGGCCUGUUCUCUGUGGGGCCAGUCUGUACAGACUUGACUUACCAUGGGCUGCUGUCCUAAUAAACUUGCUACAAGUUGAAAAUACUGGAAGUGGGAAGUGCCCGGAAGCUGCCUAACCUAUAGAACAUCAGGCCACGCAGCACACCGUGAAGCGGGCAGUUUACCCUCGAGAUCGAUCGCUGCCACCAUCCCGUAUGGCAGAAGAGGAUCCUGUUACCUACUGCUAGACCAGGAAAAGAGCCAAACUGAAAAAUCAAAGUUCAUGGUUUCCCCUGAAUGUGUCCUGCUUCCACUCCAUCAUAAAAUUUAAAAGUCUUAAGCAGAACUGUCAUAAGUGGUAAACUACUUGAAUUCAGUUUUUUGUUUUAUUGUAUUUUUAUUUUUUGAGACAGGGUCUCCCUAUAUAGUUCAAGCUGGCCUUGAACUUGUGACAUUCCUCCUCCUCCAGCUUCCUGAGUGCUAGGAUUACAGGCAUGCACCACCACGCCCAGCUGUGUGCACUUUUAUCUCCAUUUCUUAGCAGGAAGCUAUGUGACACACACUUCCGGUGGCAUUUAUUUAAGUAACUGAGCAUCUGCCAGGGGCUGGCUGAGGCCACUGUCCUGCAACAAACGUCAAACCAAGCAGCCGGGAAAAAUUUCAGUCUGCACAAGUGAGACAAGCUGUUGAAUAAUCGUUGUUUUUGAGAUGACUGUAGAGACACAGAGGCCCAGUUAGAGAGGAAUGUGUACCUUUGUGUUGUAACAGGCACGCAUACUGCUAAAUUCCUGGAAAUGCCGAAGAACAAAAAGUGUCACACACAUUUAAGCAAAGCCAAAUUUUUAAAAAAUGAAAUGUUUACGGUUUGUGUUCAGUUUUGAUUCCCAAAUCAAAACAAAUGCCUCAGUCUGCCCUCAGACCACAUGCAGGAUCUCAAGUCUGCCUUUUCCUGGAAGCCAAAGAAACCUCUAAGUAGGCUGAGUCAGUCCUUUUCUACCCUUUCUAAUUUUUCUUCCAUUUUAGUUUACAAAAACACACAACAGUUGUGGACAAAUAAUUCAGGUUUGCUUAGUGUAAAAGAGUAGUAAGCCAAAGAAAACCCGAGAAACUUAGCUUUAUCUUCCGCGUGGCAAGGAAAUUCUCUGCCCCGCCCACAGUGCAAAUAAACAGCCCUAAACUGUGUGCGUGCGUGCGUGCGUGCGUGCGUGUGUGUGUCUGUGCCUGCAUUUAAAAAGAGGGUCUGAAUCUAAAGCUCCAGAGUGUAGGGAUGUGAUGCAGGCAGCUUGCUCGUGCAUAAAAAUAGCAUGGCUGGGGGCUGGAGGUUUAGCUCAGUGACGUAAAUACUACCUGGCAAGCCCAAGGUAAUGAGUUCGAUCCCCGGUGUUUGCUGCCAGGGACCAGAUUGCCCCUUGCUGUGCCUGCACACAUGGUUCUUGGUUUUUAGUGAUCACCAAGUUUCCCCUUUAAUGGGGCCUGUUUCUCCACAUGGAAUUUUUUUUCAGGACGCUAAGGUUUCAGGCAUUAUUCCCAAAGCUUAAUUUCUUAGGCUAAUGUGGCAAUAAUACCAAAAACGCGUUGAUGUUUUUUGGCCACUAACCUCUUCCCUUGUCUCUCCCCCUCUGUCUUUUUCCCCCUAUCUUUGACACAGGGUCUUGCUAUAUGUUUAAGCUGGCUAAAGCUUACUAUUUAGUCCGGGCUGGCCUUGAACUCAUAGUGAUCCCCUGCCCCCACCCCCAGUGCUGGGGUUAGUGGUGUGCGCCUGGCUCUUGGGGCUGCCCAUAGUGAUAAGCACUGCCUACAACCUGACUGUAGAGCAUGCCAGCUGAACCUUCAUCUGAGUAGCAGUAAUAGAGAAGAAAAUUUCCCAUUCUUUACCAUGGCUACUGCACCAUGACUGCAGUUGAUCUUACACUUCCUGUGUUUCUGAUGGCCCCGAGGCUCAGAGAUGCUCAGUGCCUGGCUCACAGUCACACAGCUUGUAACAAGGUGGGCUACCUACCAGGCUCCCAUUUUACCCUACAACUCCACCUCGCUUUUCACUUAGCACUGCUUUCUCCUCACUCUGGGCUCCUGCAGUAGAGACCCUUGAGGAGGAGGAUUAUGACCACUUUAUAUUUUCUUCCAAGACAGUGUCAUUAGAUGUCUACUAAGCAUCUGCAACAGAAGUGGCACAACUCUAGCCACUGAGGAUUCAACAGACACAGGCCACGUAGUCCUAGCUUUAGGGUCGGGGACAAAGACAGAGCACAGGGCUCACCCCUGGUGCUCACAGGGCGAGGACCUGACUGACUGCAGAACACAGAGAAACCUGCCCUCCCACUGGCUCCUGGAACUUGCAGUCAUGCUCGGGAUGCUCUGGGACUCAGCAGGGCCAUCACUACCCUAAACGCGAUUUCAGAUUGCAGCACAGAAAAAUAGAAACUAUUUUAGGGUUCUACCCUGGCUCCAGACAGCUCUAGAGGGUGAUUUGAGGUGCAUCUUGAAAGCUCACUUACCCUAUUGAAAUUGCAAUUUUAGAGCAGGGUGUGGUGUCAGAUACUUUAAUUCCAGUACUCAGGAGGCUAAGGCAGGAAGACCUGGGCUACACAAUGAGUUCAAGGCCAGCCUGAAUACCUAGGGAGACCCUAUCUCAAAAAAGAGCAACAGCAAAAAAGACAUUGAAAUUUUGGUUGAUCUUAGUAGCAACAGACAUGCCACAACUCGGAGUGUUCUGUUAGAUGAGACCAAGGACUCAGAUUUCUGUCUUUUCUCUUUACUCCAAUUACCUUAAGAAGGCCACCUGCUGGGCAGGGUGACGGAGUGGGGUUUUCCCAUUCAGAGAAUGUUCUGGAAGAAACACGACUCACUAAACCUUCAGGACGGCUCCUGGCCAGAAGCCCCACUAACUACUCAUAAGCAGUGCAGGGCAGAGGAUGUGCCAAGCUGAAACUGUGCAAACAGGGUUUCUACAAAGCUACUGCACAGACCCUGUCUGGUGACUGAACCACUGUCUGGCUUACUACAGAUUCUCUAGCAGAAACUUCAUUCUAUCCUAACUUGUAGCUCUGGGAGGGACAAGAAAGAAAGAGCAAAGAAUGGUUGGAGGAAAACAGCUGGAGUCGCCUUUGCCAACUCUGAUAAAUAGAGGAGUUUUGCAGGCACAGCGGUGUUUGUCCUGUAAUUCCAGGUAGAAGAAGGCUGAAGCAGGAGGACUCCGCCUUUGAAGUGAGCUUGGCCAACUUAGCAAGACACUAUCUCAAAAGAUUAAAAAGAACUUCAGGUAUAGCUCAGUAUAAAGCACCACUGAGUUUGAUCCCUGGUACAAAAUAAAAACAGUAAAGGAGUUUUGUUUCCUUUGAACUGCUCCUUCAGAGAAACUUCUUGUACUGAAUAUUCUUUUGCUUUUUUUUUUUUUUCAAUGGAGGAAGUUCUCCCAGCCAUCAAAGGCAGACAUGUGAAGGAUGAGUUGGGCCUUAUCCUUCUGCCUCUUACAAGACUGGGUUGGCAUAAUCUAAUCAGCAAGAAAGAGGCAUCGCAGUGCACGGGAGGGAAAGAGAAAGUGCCGCUGGAAAGCAUUGCGUCUGAGUUCACUGCGGCUCUGUGUGGAGACCAGAAGUGAGCGCUGCAUCAUCUUCCUUGUCAGCGGACGACUGAGAAAGGGGUGCGGGACUUUGAAGGACAGACAGAGAAGGGGGACAACUGUCCUUGCUUGUCAGGGGCUUUCCCUUGCCAACCUGGUGAGAGCUGGAGCCCAGAGCAGGCCGAGCUGAUGCCUGGGUGUAACCCUAACCCUAACCCUAACCCUAACCCUAACCCUAACCCUAACCCUUCGAGGCACCUUCCUGGAAAUCAGUCCACACCCUCUACCCAUCCACUCAUCCAUCUACCCAACAACUCAUUCAGUCACUUCCCUUAGCACCUGUCAGGUAGGUACCAGGGAGCUGGUCCUAGCAGGAGACAUAAUAAACAGUUUCCACAGAAACAUGACACCUAGGCCCAGUACUACAGUGUGGCAGGGACAAGGGGCAAACAGCACAGGGGGAACAGGAGGCACUAAAGUCUGUGAGGGGCCUUGUGCAGGACACACAGCUCAGGAUGCGAAGGGCAGAAGGAGCCGUUCAGGUGGAAUGAGAAAAGGCACAGAGCAUGAGCAGUGACAUAAGUCACCGAGGAGUGAGACAGCCAGCACGAAUGGCAGGGACAGGGACUCUCUCCCUCCUUGCGGCAGGGCCCAGCCCUGCUCCUGACCAUGUGCAUGUCCUCAUCUUUGCGUGUGCUGCUUCACCUAAAAAGUGUCAGGCUCUUCAGGUAAAUGAGUGCAUCACGAAUGGAUAAAUGAUCUGAUCAUUCUCCAAAUCCCAGCUGCCCAAAUUCAUCUGUCAACACACUCAGACGCAUGCUGCAAGCUGCCUUCUGUGGCUAGGACUAAAAAGCCUCACUGGCAUGUGGGCUCUGAACAUGUUGUACCAUCCUGACAGUCACAGCUGUUUAGAUGCAGGGGAUAGACGGCCAUUCCAGUCCCUGCUGGCCGGGAUCACCUGCAAUAUGGACCAGCCUAAAAAAUGGCACGGUGCUGCGAUUUUAUAGAUAGGCAAUCAGAGCCUCUGGGUCAUGAUCAUUUGCACGUGGGCCCUAGAGUCAGAGAGGACUUAAUGUGGGGCACUUAUUGAACAUACUCAAAUACCUGAACUCAUACAUCUGGUCUCAAAGCCCACUCUCAGCCUCCUGAGCUGUCUCCUGGGGAUUCACAGGACACUGGGAAGGUGGGGAAAGGAGUGCACUCUGUAUCUUUCUCUUCCUAGCUCAGAUCUGUGGGCUAAGGAAGAAAGGAGAGAUCAAGUGGGAAUCACACUCAGCUCAACUGCCAAGUUGUCUGUGGUACUGGGUACUUAGGGCCUUUGCACUGUGCUAGAUCCCCAGCGCUCAAAAAAAAAAACAAAAAACAAAACAAAAAAAAAAAAAAACAACAAA